GCCGCUUUGACCGUCAUUAAAAUAGCAUUUCAAUGAUAAUACAUCAAAAAUGUAGUAAUAUGAAAACUGAAAAACUCCAGUGAUGUUUCAAAGCAAUGCAGUUUAAAAAAACCAAUUCAAUCCAUUAACCAAAAUAAACUUGGGGGAAACAACGCAUUUUCUAUGCUGGCAAGCAGAUGGCCAAGACUGCGUCUGUCUGGGGUGAAAAUGCAGGUUGCAUCCUGUAGGAAGCCAGCAUAGGGACGGGCUGCUCACCUCCCAGGGCGGCAAGGCAGCCGCUGACUCCAGCAGGCCUUGAAACCUCCCCUGCAGACGUAAGAGCAUCGUCUCAGGCAGCGCGGCCGCCAAGGUCUCACUGUAUCAUUCCAAAGCGGGCGAAUUUCGAAACAUCCAGCUGCUGGCAGCAAUAGCAGAACCCACCAUGAGGCUCCAGGCAUUCGGAUGCCGCCAGCGAGGCCAGCAAGCCCACCUCUCCCUGAGCUGCAGUUCGGCUUUCUUCCUCCACAAGCAGGGACGUGGCUUCAGGAACCCGCUGGAGGAGACAAGGGGCCUCCGUGGUCUCAGCCCUCGCUUUGCGCAUGGGCUCUGGCCUCGGCACCUGGGCAUCUCCAUCCUCCCGAGGGCAGUCGGAGGCUGAAUGUCUUCAACAGGAGCACAGGCAGGAGAGAGAGAGCUCAGAUGUGCUCGAGGCCGGGGUCCACCCCUGUUCUCCUGUGAGAGGGAGGCUGUGAAAAUCCAGGAGACAACAUCAAAGCGUUGUUUUCCAACACACUGGCCUGCGCGCCCUACGCUUUAUGCAGAUGAGGGAUGGCGCAAGCACAGGCCUGCGCGCAGGGCUUUAGGCAGAUGAGGGAUGACGCAGGCACAGGCCUGAGCGUCGCACGCUUUGCGUAGAUGAGGGAUGGCGCCGGCGCAGGCCUGAGCGUCGCACGCUUUGCGUAGAUGAGGGAUGACGCAGGCACAGGCCUGAGCGUCGCACGCUUUGCGUAGAUGAGGGAUGGCGCCGGCGCAGGCCUGCGCGCCACGCGCUUUAGGUGGAUGAGGGAUGGCGCAGGUGCAGGCCUGCGCGCCUCACGCUUUAUGUACAUGAGGGAUGAGGCAGCACAGGAAUUGGCACAACCUGAAGUCAGCUCUGCAGCUUUCCAAGCUUCGUUCUGCGUGUCCUGUACUCAACAGUCAUCUCAUGCUGCAGGGUGGCUGCGUGUGCUCCGUACAUCACACCCAUAUUUCAGAUGAACAAGCCAAGGCUGAGGAAAAGAAAACUCCUUGCCCAGCACACAGGCAGUAAGUUGUGGGUCUGGAAGUCACACUAGUUCCAUGAGGCCCCACAAUGCGUGCUGCCUCUGAGACGCUGAGGAGAGAGAAGAGAUGCCUUGGUCACAGCUCCCACCCUCAGAUGAGAUGAGCCUGCAGGUAGGAGGCCUGCCAUGGCAAAUGCUGCCUCUUAGAUGAAUUGGGGUAGGAGAAUGACCCCCAAACUCCUGGAGCAGGCAGGCAGCCACCUGCAUCAAGACCACGGGGUACUUCUGUGGGUCUUAAGCCCUUUCCCCACUCCCUGAAUAGGGGUUUCUGACAGAGGAUGCCGAGGCACUCUGACAUGUGACGCGGUUGUCUAAACGCUGGUGUAAGCCAAAAAUAAAAUUCUAAGGCCCCCCAACCAUCCAAAUGGACCCCUCUUCUCAGCCAAGGGCAUUCCAGAGUUAACCUGAAAAACUGGUUCAGACAUGAUGGAAGAGGGGGUCGGACAUGCCUCAUGAUACCUCCCUCCAUUGUGGAAUUCAGGAAAAGCCAACCAGCCUUAACAUCAACAAAGACCUGAGUCCGAUGAGAAACAGUGACCAUCUGUUCCCUCCAAAGCCUGCUACCCAGAGAUCUGCAUGGUCAAACCCUGGUCUCCACACCCCUUAUCCUAACCCAGACCUUCCUUUCUACUGAUCAUAACUCUUUCAACCAAUUGCCAAUCAGAAAAAUGUUAUGACCUGGAAGCCGCUGCUUUGAGUUGUCCCGUCUUUCCAGACUGAACCAAUGUCAAUCCUACACGUAUUGAAUGAUGCCUCAAUUCUCUCUAAAAUGUAUAAAACCAAGCUGUGCUCCGACCACACUGGGCACAUGGCGUCAGGACCUCCUGAGGCUGUGUCACAGGUGUGUCCUUAACCUCGGCAAAAUAAACUUUCUAAAUUGGUUGAGGCUUGUCUCAGAUACUUUUGGGUUCACGUUGGGGACCUGGAAGAGGGAGGAGGAGGCCUUCAGGGGGAGGCCUCUGCCCACGGCACCGUCAGGAAGCCCGAGUCUGCCACGGCUGCUGGGUGGGACAGACCAGGGUGCUCCUGACGGGCAGACCCAUCCCACUUUCUGAGGUGGAAAACCAGGCCUGGGCCUCCCACUGCCCACCUCCUGCUUCCUCUCACUGGCUCCGUGGCCAGGACCCGUUCUCUCUGCCCCUCGCUUUGGUCUAUGCAGGCCUCAUACCACGCAUUGCUGCUGGGUGACAAGACAGCCCACAGGAUCCAGCCCCUGGGGGGACCGCCCGACCUUCACUCCACGGUUCCGUCGCCCUGAAACCUUCAAGUUCUGUCGCCAUGAAAUCUUGCUGGGUCUUGUCACUGCUCCACGGGACAAAAUGUGAUGAACAGAGGUGGUUCGGGUGCCGCGCUUCUGAGAGGAGUGACUUGGGUCUCCCGGCUGAGGCUGCGAUGCCACUGCCCGCUGACGGCCCACUUGCCAGGAUGUCCUGGCCUGAGGACACCCCAACGGGGAACAGAGGUCGAAUGACGUGUGGCUGCUCGGAGCCUGUUCUCCAGAGAAAGCUCCUUGUUCGAGGAAGGUUUCUGACACCAGAAAUCAUUCUGGUUUCUUGUCAGUAACUGGAGGGGAAAAUCCAAAGCCUUUGUUGCUAAGAUACAUAACAUCCUUCCAUGGAGAGAGGGAAGGAGAGAGAGGGAGAGGGAGGGAAGGAGAGAGAGAGGGAGAGGGAGGGAAGGAGAGAGGGAGGGGAGAGAGAGGGACACAGGAAGAGAUGCAGAGGGAGGGAGGGAAAGGGGGGAGAGGAGGGAGAGAAAGGGAGGAAAGGAGGGAAGGGGGGAGAGAGAAAGAGAAAGGGACAUAGGGAAGGAAAGAGAGAGGGAGAGGGAGGGUAAGAAGGGGGGAGAGGGGGAGAGAAAGACAGGAAUAGAAAAAAGAGGGAGGGAGGGAGAGAGGGACGGGGAGGGAGAGAGGGACGGGGGGAGAGGGACAGAGGGAGGGAAGGAGGGAGGGAAAGAGCAGGGAGAGAAGGGGGAAGAGAGAGGGGAGGGAGGUGGGGGAAGAGGGCAGAGAGGGAGAAAGAGAAGGGAGGGAGGAAGGGAAGGAGAGAGAGAUUUCAAAGCAGUUUUACUCUUCAUGUGGUCUGUUUUAGCCCCGUCCUCCUCUGCCUUUCUUCUUGUGUGUGUUUAAAAGCUAUUAAUCAGUUUUAGAAAGCAAAUCUCUGCCUCUGUUGUGAGCAUCUCGAUUUUUCUUUUGCAUUUUCAGGGCAUUCUCGCUGGAAAGGCUCAGUCAUGCUGGACAAACUAUUAUACCAGUGGAAGUCUGUCCAGUUUCUGAUAAAACCAAAACUAAUUUAUUUUUUGUUUAUCCUCCACUACCUUUGACAAAGCUUCCUCUGGAGAUGUGUAUCUUCAUUCC
rnacentral:lncRNA from 1 species